rnacentral:rRNA from 1 species
UACAGAGGGUGCAAGCGUUAAUCGGAAUUACUGGGCGUAAAGCGUGCGCAGUCGGUUAUUUAAGUCGGGCGUGAAAGCCCCGGGCUCAACCUGGGAAUUGCGUUCGAUACUGGAUAGCUAGAGUUCGGCAGAGGGAAGCGGAAUUUCGGGUGUAGCGGUGAAAUGCGUAGAUAUCCGGAAGAACACCGGUGGCGAAGGCGGCCUGCUGGGCAGUUUAGCUGACACUGAGGCGCGACAGCGUGGGGAGCAAACAGG